AUUGAACGCUGGCGGCAUGCUUUACACAUGCAAGUCGAACGGUAACAGGCCUUCGGGUGCUGACGAGUGGCGAACGGGUGAGUAAUGCAUCGGAACGUACCCAGAGGUGGGGGAUAACGCAGCGAAAGCUGUGCUGAUACCGCAUGUGAUCUGAGGAUGAAAGCGGGGGACCGAGCAGCAAUGUUUGGCCUCGCGCCUUUGGAGCGGCCGAUGUCGGAUUAGCUAGUUGGUGGGGUAAAGGCCUACCAAGGCGACGAUCCGUAGCUGGUCUGAGAGGACGACCAGCCACACUGGGACUGAGACACGGCCCAGAAUCCUACGGGAGGCAGCAGUGGGGAAUUUUGGACAAUGGGCGCGAGCCUGAUCCAGCAAUGCCGCGUGCGGGAAGAAGGCCUUCGGGUUGUAAACCGCUUUUGGCAGGAACGAAACGGUGUCCGCUAAUACCGGGCGCUAAUGACGGUACCUGCAGAAUAAGCACCGGCUAACUACGUG
rnacentral:rRNA from 1 species